CAUCAUUUCUUCCGCUGCAUAAUGAAACUCAGUUGAUGUGUCUGCACUGGCUCUUAUGUUUGAUGACAAAAAUUAGGUGUUUGCUCAGGGCCUGAUAAAAGAUGCACAAAUAUCAGUUUGAAAAUUAGAAAGCAUGACAUUGUCGUGGUGAAAGAUGAUACAAUCUACCCAUUGUUUUGGCAGCAUUGCAGGGUAAUCCAGUUUUGAAUUUUGCCAAUAUCCAUUGAUGAGGCAUGGAGAUUGUAGUGUUCUUAUUAUUGUUAGAUUUGUUAGAUCUAGAUAUUCAUCGGAGUUUCAGCUUCGCUCCUUUAACAUGAUUGAAGGCGGUCUUUAGAAAAUGUGAUAGGUGGGGUUGUGGACAAUGCUUGAGUAUGUGAAGCUGGCUUGAAAGCAGUUCAAUCUGGACUUGCAUAGGGGAUUUGGAUUGGAAUGUUGUUCGGCACGGUUGUUCAUACUCUUGUACUAUCUUACCUUACAUGGAGAACUGACUGGGACAAUCAGCUAGAUUCUGUCAACAAAAAGGUGCAGUUUAAUCCACAGCCACAGACUGACUUCAGGAAAAAGCACAUACAAGCAAAACUACGCCCUCAUCCUUCAGGGUGAGUUUCAGACUGAAAACUGAUACAAAUCUCUUUGAGAUUGCAAAGUCUGAGGAAGCUUCAAAAUCUCCAAAAAAGGAUUGAUUGAGUUGGGAUGAAUGCUUGAGCCCCACUUGGUAAUUCUUAUUUAAUGGAUUUUUUGAGAAUUUCUUCAAAUUUAUAAUUUUGGUUUUGGUGUUGGGAUGGUCUU